CAGCUGAAGAUCAAACUACCUCACGCCUCACACUGCAGGCCUCUUCCCUCCUACCUUGAGCCUUUCCUGUGACCGGAACGAGCGUUUCAGCACUCGGCAGGAUGACAAGAGGCCAGUACAGUACCCCAGGAUAGAAUGAGAACCUCAGGAUCUUAGCACACGCUGUUCCUUCUGCCUGGAAUGCCCAUCCCCUCAUCGUCACAUGGCUGGAUUCACGUUGUUCAGACUUUAGCCUAAAUGUCACCU